rnacentral:rRNA from 1 species
GGGUCAGCAGGUUGGUCGUGCCACCGGUACGUACUGGUCUCACUGAUUCCUCCUUCCUGAAGAACCGUAAUGCCAUUAAUUUGGUGUUGCGGGGAAACAGGACUGUUACUUUGAAAAAAUUAGAGUGUUUAAAGCAAGCUAACGCUUGAAUACAUUAGCAUGGAAUAGUGAAAUAGGACGAUCGAUCCUAUUUUGUUGGUUUCUAGGAUUGACGUA